UCCAAAGAUAAACAACAUUUCUGACCAAGCACCUUCCCAGCACCACAUGAUUAAACCCAUCUCUGCUCCUGGGCACGUGUUUCAUCAGCGCAGUUCCUGGAAGGGCAGAUACUGUGAGAACACAGAGUCUCCUCCAGCCGGGAAGUGACACAGGCUGACCCCGAGGAAGAAAUUCAGCUAACGAGGGGUUUCACAGACUGACCCCCUUAGUGCAGUAUCAACAUUAACCAACAAGUAAAAUUUCACAUCUAUGCCAGAAUGAUGGGCACCAGGAAACCUGUUCCAAGAUGCUUUGAGGAUAAAUCAUCAGACAAGAUGCUUAGAAAAGAAUUAACCCUGGAUUAAAAUCAGAUAUUGCAUCCCAUAUGCUGAGACCAACAAAGUAAGAGAUGCUUCACCACGGACGUUUCAUUCAGAGGAUAGUGUAAGGUGUCAGCAGCAACCCUCAAGUUAAGACUGCACUGAGAUCUGCACUACAAACAGAUUUCUCUGUUAUUUCUAUGAAAAGUUGUGUUGUAAAGAUUGAAACAUCAGCCCCAUGGUCAAAUCUCUCUCAACAUCAUGCUACAAGUCAGGACAGUAUGCACUAUUCAAAUGGCCUGUAGGAACUGAAAUAUGCUCUUCUGCUAUCCUACUUCCUUCAGGGUUAGAGAAACAGCCACAUAUUUCUUUUCCAAAGCGUUUCCCCAGCAUGUCAGGGCUCCAAGCUAAAUAUUAGCAGAAACUGAAACGUCAGCAAGAGAGCCGCGGAUGUAUCGUGCACGAGGCAUAAGCAAGGAGUGGGGUGAAAGAAAAGCAUCUGAAUUUGGAUUAACACUAAUGUUGGUAUCUUUCAAAACUGCAAGACACAGAGGGCUGUUCAAAUAUACAUGAGCGACAAGGUAAUGUUUUUCACUCUAGGUGGUGAUUCUCAGGUAUGUGAAGAAUUUAAAAUGCACGGAGUCCAAGCAGUGAGGGGUACUGUUCUAAAUUACAAAAAUGCUGGAAUGAGGUGUGUAAGUGUACGCAUUGCUGUAAAUAGCCCCCCCUCUCCAAGGCAAGGGUUACAUUUUGCAGUUUUAGGGGUCUGUGUUUAGUUUAGCACUCAAUAGCUGGUAACAGGAUUAUCACCACAGUGCCUGGGAUAAUAGGGCUUUAGGGGGCAGUAAACAAUAGUGGCUCAGGCCAAAAGGCCAAACAGACUGCUGAUAUGAUCUCAAUAUUUAUCAGAAAUAAAUCAAAAUGAGCAGAA